GACGAACGCUGGCGGCGUGCUUAACACAUGCAAGUCGAACGGAAAGGCCCUGCUUUUGUGGGGUGCUCGAGUGGCGAACGGGUGAGUAACACGUGAGUAACCUGCCCUUGACUUUGGGAUAACUUCAGGAAACUGGGGCUAAUACCGGAUAGGAGCUCCUGCUGCAUGGUGGGGGUUGGAAAGUUUCGGCGGUUGGGGAUGGACUCGCGGCUUAUCAGCUUGUUGGUGGGGUAGUGGCUUACCAAGGCUUUGACGGGUAGCCGGCCUGUGAGGGUGACCGGCCACAUGGGGACUGAGAUACGGCCCAGACUCCUACGGGAGGCAGCAGUGGGGAAUAUUGCACAAUGGGCGGAAGCCUGAUGCAGCAACGCCGCGUGCGGGAUGACGGCCUUCGGGUUGUAAACCGCUUUCGCCUGUGACGAAGCGUGAGUGACGGUAAUGGGUAAAGAAGCACCGGCUAACUACGU
rnacentral:rRNA from 1 species